rnacentral:rRNA from 1 species
AUUGAACGCUGGCGGCAUGCCUUACACAUGCAAGUCGAACGGUAACAGGUCUUCUGAUGCUGACGAGUGGCGAACGGGUGAGUAAUACAUCGGAACGUGCCCGACCGUGGGGGAUAACGAGGCGAAAGCUUUGCUAAUACCGCACACGAUCUACGGACGAAAUCGGGGGAUCUUCGGACCUCGCGCGGACGGAGCGGCCGAUGGCAGCGUCGGUAGUUGGUGGGAUAAAAGGUUACCAAGCCGACGACUUGUAGCUGGUCUCAGAGGAUGAUAGGCCACACUGGAACUGGGACGCGGACAGGAGUCCUACGGUACGCAGCAGUGGGGAAUGUGGGACAAUGGGCGAGAGCCUGAUCCAGCCAUGCCGCGUGCAGGAUGAAGGCCUUCGGGUUGUGAAGUGCUUUUGUAGGGAGCGAAAAGCCUCUGUCUGAUAAAGAGGGGUCAUGACGGUACCGUAAGAAUAAGCACCGGCUAACUACGUG